UGUUGCAGGUGCACAUACAUUAAGCAUCUAAGUUCAAAAUCAUAUAUAUACAUAUACAUAAUAAUAUACCUUUUUCAUUUUGAGAGGAACAGACCAAUUAAUAAACACAAAUUGUUCCUCCACCAAUACUUGAUAUAUGUCCCUUCAAUUUUGUUCCUGCAGCAUCUCUCCAAGUAGUUCCGCGCCUCUUUUGUUAAUGUCACCACCUCUUAACAGUGUUGUAAGGAAUCUCGCAGGAUGGUACAGGCUACUAGGCAUAUCCAUUUGAGGAAAGUCUUCUUGUGCACUAUUUUCAAUCUCUGGCUCCAAAGGGGCCUUUCCUUUUUUAUUAGAAGUAUUCCUGUUGCUUUCCCUUUCAUUACCAGGAUCAGCUCUUUUAGAACCCUUGCUUGUCUGGGCUGCUUCGCUGUCAGGCCCUAGCUCUCUAGCUGCAAGGGUGUUUCCUUGACAUACUUCAUCAACUUGGAUAGCAGGGAUUGCACUACAACCUGAUUUACGAUUAGCUGCAAGAGUAUUUCCUUGACAUUUCUUUAGAGCUUCUGCAAUGGCACCAACAGCAAUGUUGUAGCUCUCCUGAGUCAAUGAUCCCUCUUCACCCAAUAUUAUUGCCCGUCGACACAAAUCAUUGUAACGACGGACCUUAGCUUGUGCGUCAUCCAGUCCUUCGAUUAUGGAAUGCUUGCUUGUAGCAGCAUUGGUCCAGCGUUGCAAUAUGUACUUGGACGGAAUAACGAAGACGCCAGACAUUUGAAGUACCACAAUCGCAUGCCUACAAAGGUAACCUUUGUACUCAAAUAAAUGGCAUGAACAGUACAGGUCAGACUUUGGUGCAUCCCACUCCACCACAAAGUCCUGAUUUGCUUCAAAAUCUUUGACGGCAUAUGUUAUGGAUGUGCCGUCUUCUGAUUCUUUUUUCAG
rnacentral:misc_RNA from 1 species